ACGCUGGCGGCGUGCCUAAUACAUGCAAGUAGAACGCACAGGAUGCACCGUAGUUUACUACACCGUACUCUGUGAGUUGCGAACGGGUGAGUAACGCGUAGGUAACCUGCCUGGUAGCGAGGGAUAACUAUUGGAAACGAUAGCUAAUACCGCAUAAGAACAUUUACUGCAUGGUAGAUGUUUAAAAGGUGCAAAAGCAUCACUACCAGAUGGACCUGCGUUGUAUUAGCUAGUUGGUGAGGUAACGGCUCACCAAGGCAACGAUACAUAGCCGACCUGAGAGGGUGAUCGGCCACACUGGGACUGAGACACGGCCCAGACUCCUACGGGAGGCAGCAGUAGGGAAUCUUCGGGAAUGGGGGGAACCCUGACCGAGCAACGCCGCGUGAGUGAAGAAGGUUUUCGGAUCGUAAAGCUCUGUUGUUAAGGAAGAACGUGUGUGAGAGUGGAAAGUUCACACAGUGACGGUACUUAACCAGAAAGGGACGGCUAACUACGUGCCAGCAGCCGCGGUAAUACGUAGGUCCCGAGCGUUGUCCGGAUUUAUUGGGCGUAAAGCGAGCGCAGGCGGUCAGAUAAGUCUGAAGUGAAAGGCAGUGGCUCAACCAUUGUAGGCUUUGGAAACUGUUUAACUUGAGUGCAGAAGGGGAGAGUGGAAUUCCAUGUGUAGCGGUGAAAUGCGUAGAUAUAUGGAGGAACACCGGUGGCGAAAGCGGCUCUCUGGUCUGUAACUGACGCUGAGGCUCGAAAGCGUGGGGAGCGAACAGGAUUAGAUACCCUGGUAGUCCACGCCGUAAACGAUGAGUGCUAGGUGUUAGGUCCUUUCCGGGACUUAGUGCCGCAGCUAACGCAUUAAGCACUCCGCCUGGGGAGUACGACCGCAAGGUUGAAACUCAAAGGAAUUGACGGG
rnacentral:rRNA from 1 species